rnacentral:rRNA from 1 species
ACUCGAGUGGCGAACGGGUGAGUAACACGUGGGUGAUCUGCCCUGCACUUCGGGAUAAGCCUGGGAAACUGGGUCUAAUACCGGAUAGGAGCCAUUUUUAGUGUGAUGGUUGGAAAGUUUUUUCGGUGUAGGAUGAGCUCGCGGCCUAUCAGCUUGUUGGUGGGAUAAUGGCCUACCAAGGCGGCGACGGGUAGCCGGCCUGAGAGGGUGGACGGCCACAUUGGGACUGAGAUACGGCCCAG